rnacentral:piRNA from 1 species
UUACGGACAAGUGCACAGCGAUU